CACGUAGGGGGCAAGCGUUGUCCGGAUUUAUUGGGCGUAAAGAGCUCGUAGGCGGCUUAGUAAGUCGGGUGUGAAACCUCCAGGCUCAACCUGGAGACGCCACCCGAUACUGCUGUGGCUAGAGUCCGGUAGGGGAGCGUGGAAUUCCAGGUGUAGCGGUGAAAUGCGUAGAUAUCUGGAGGAACACCGGUGGCGAAGGCGGCAUCCUGGACCGGCAUUGACGCUGAGGCGCGAAAGCUAGGGGAGCAAACGGGG
rnacentral:rRNA from 1 species